CCUACGGGAGGCAGCAGUGGGGAAUCUUGCGCAAUGGGCGAAAGCCUGACGCAGCAACGCCGCGUGGGGGAUGAAGGCUCUCGGGUUGUAAACCCCUUUCAGCAGGGACGAAUCAAGACGGUACCUGCAGAAGAAGCCCCGGCUAACUACGUGCCAGCAGCCGCGGUAACACGUAGGGGGCAAGCGUUGUCCGGAUUUAUUGGGCGUAAAGAGCUCGUAGGUGGCUGAGUAAGUCGGAUGUUAAAUCCCCAGGCUCAACCUGGGACACCACCCGAUACUGCUCUGGCUAGAGUCCGGUAGGGGAGCGUGGAAUUCCUGGUGUAGCGGUGAAAUGCGCAGAUAUCAGGAGGAACACCAGCGGCGAAGGCGGCGCUCUGGGCCGGUACUGACACUGAGGAGCGAAGGCGUGGGUAGCAAACAGGAUUAGAUACCCUGGUAGUCCACGCCGUAAACGUUGGGCACUAGGUGUGGGGUUCUAUUCAACGGACUCCGUGCCGUAGCUAACGCAUUAAGUGCCCGCCUGGGGAUCGGCCGCAAGGCAAAACUUAAUGAAUUGACGGCUGNGAGNGCGAGCGACACGAGGAGAG
rnacentral:rRNA from 1 species